UACGGGGGGAGCAAGCGUUGUUCGGAUUUACUGGGCGUAAAGGGCGCGUAGGCGGUCAGCACAAGUCAGUUGUGAAAUCUCCGGGCUUAACUCGGAAAGGUCAACUGAUACUGUGCGACUAGAGUGCGGAAGGGGCAGCUGGAAUUCUCGGUGUAGCGGUGAAAUGCGUAGAUAUCGAGAGGAACACCUGCGGCGAAGGCGGGUUGCUGGGCCGACACUGACGCUGAUGCGCGAAAGCGUGGGGAGCGAACAGG
rnacentral:rRNA from 1 species